AGCAAAAAUCAGAAUGCAAAUAAGAAUCAGGCAACACAAAUCGCAGGCAUAAAUAAAAGGCAUUCAUCAGCUGUAAAGUCUUCUCUGCCAAAUAUAUAAACAGGGAACUGUCGCAUCAUCUCGGUAAAACCCUCAAGCAUCCGCAGACUGUCAGCCACCGCAGGUUCGCUACCACUACUUACUACCAACAUGUAAUAAAAAGCCAGGCAUGACAUAUCCCACAUCCAACAAGCGUCUCUGCGCACUAGUAUCGCCAACCGACAACACACGCAUGUUUCUCGAUGCCAAAAAGACACUGCCAACACUUAACCAGAGUUUUUUGUCCUGCUGAUGAUCGCAAAACCAUCGGUCACGAGGGCGGGCUCAGGGGGCGUUCACCGGUUCCCGUUCAUCUUGGCCAUCAUCUUGGCUAUGAUGGGCCCCACCUUCGGGUUCGCCUGGUGCUUGGUCAAGUUGGCAGGGUUGCUCAUCACUGCACCAAACAGAGGGUCAGGUCACUGCAAAGGAAGUAUCGAACAAGAACAACAUAGGCUAAAGCAGCUAAAGAAAACAACCCUAAAGCAGCAGGCAUAUAAGCAGAGAUUACAGUUCUUGUGAGCAUUAUAUCCAAGUUUAGAUAUUACAAUUUGUAUAAGCCUUAUAUCCAAGUUUAAGAAUACGCAAGGUUCAAAGAUUUAGUGUAGCUCAUAUAAAAUGGUACCUCCCAUCUAAAUAUUUGAGCCAUGCAAUACUACCCUGACGAGUAAGAAAGUACAGGACCAGAACAAUGUAGCCUACAGCAGUUCUCACACACAACCCUAAAGCAGCAAAUACAUCGUGAUACAAGCAAACGGUUAUGUCCUAACAAUUAGAACUUUCACUAGACAUGGAUGCAUACAAGGAAUGUUGAUACCAUGAGUACUAACCUGAACUAUUAGAAUAUAUCUACUAAUCUAGUAGUAUAAGAAUAAAGAUAUCGUCAAACGCAUCACAUAAAGUGGCCUCUAGUGAUAAAAAAUUAUCUGCCGCACCAGAUUUCAGGAUUGAGCAUACAUCACUAGCAUGCUUGCAUGUUCAGAAUAUUCAAUCAAACUAAUCCGCACCUUGCAUAACUCACCAAAUAUGCCCACUGUACUCCAAAAACAGACUAAAUACUCCCUCCGUUCGGAAAUACUUGUCGACAAAAUGAACAAAAAGGGAUGUAUCUAGAUGUAUAUUAGUUCUAGAUACAUCCCUUUUUAUCUAUUUUGAUGACAAGUAUUUUCGGACGGAGGGAGUACUAUGCAAAGAAAUAUGUUGCACUUAUGACCACUGCUAUUAUUAAGAGAAAUUUAUAUUCAAUCAGCUGUUUUCCAGCACCAGGACUUGACCAGGAAGAUCAACUACAACAGGCAACUGUACUAUAAAGUAAAUGGGGAUUAGAGAACUAUUUGAGUAGAAAACUGUACCAUCUUGAAGGGCCGCCAUAACCUCUGGGUCACCAAAUGCUGCCAUCAGGUCAGGGUCCUGUUUCAAAGAGAAGAAAGAAGAACAUUGUGUAAAACAGGUUUCUCCAGUAUCAAGAGUUAUGGUUACAAGGAAGACAGGCAGACACUGGGCAAGCACUUACAUUCAAGAUGUCACCCAUAUCAACAUUCCCAGGAGCACCUCCAGCUCCAGGCAUACCACCUCCCAUUCCUCUGCCACCGCCCAUUCCAGGCAUACCACCUCCCAUUCCUGCGGGCAUACCGCCCCCCAUUCCUGCGGGCAUACCUCCACCCAUUCCUGCGGGCAUACCUCCACCCAUUCCUCCAGGGAAACCACCCCCCAUUCCUCCGGGGAAGCCACCAGGCAUUCCACCCAUGCCUCCUGGGAAUGGGAAGCCACCGGGCAUUCCACCAGGCAUGCCUCCUGAAGAGCGGCUUGAUGAUUGCUCCUUCCUCUUGGCCUUCUCAUAAGCAGCCUGUCAAAAACACAAGCCAUUGAGCUUCAGUAUGAAUCCUAAACAGUAUCCCUGGAAAGCUCCUACCACAAGUGGAAAAACUAGUAUGAUGAUGAACCCACCUGUGCCUCGGCACGGCGACGAAGCCUGUCACGCUCAGCUUUCUUCUCCGCCCUCUCUUUCCUCAGCCUGUCAUACUUCCUGCGAUGCUCCACUAUCUUGUGUGCAUUAGGCUCCACCUGCAAGGUCACCAGCAUCAGUAUCAUUGAUAUGAGCAUAUGCGUUGUGUCCAAACAUAUAGAUAGGACAUAGUUGAUGCAACAACAUCCCACCUUCUUGAGCACAGCAUUGAUCUCAUCAUCAUAGUCAAUGUUUGACGCGGCAUGCAGAUCACGAGCAGCUUCCUCCCACUUGCCAAGCAUAG
rnacentral:lncRNA from 1 species